GUCUCGUUGGUCUAUGGGUAUGAUUCUCGCUUUGGGUGCGAGAUGUCCCGGGGUCAAAUCCCGGACGAGCCC
rnacentral:tRNA from 1 species